AUAAGUUAAGUAAGGGCGUAUGGCGGAUGCCUAGGCUCUCAGAGACGACGAAGGACGUGAUAAGCUGCGAAAAGUUACGGGGAGAAGCACAUAUUUUAUGAUCCGUAAAUAUCCGAAUGGGGCAACCCGGCAUGCUGAAGGCAUGUCACCUAGCAAUAGGGGUAAACCCGGUGAACUGAAACAUCUAAGUAACCGGAGGAAGAGAAAACAAUAGUGAUUCCGUUAGUAGUGGCGAGCGAACGCGGAUUAGCCCAAACCAGUGUUGUUACGGCAAUACUGGGGUUGUAGGACCACGAUAUUCGAAGCUAAGUGAAUUAGAACUGUUUGGAAAGACAGACCAAAGAGGGUGAUAGUCCCGUAUAAGUAAGCGAAGUUUAGAUAGUGGUAUCCUGAGUAGUGCGGGACACGAGUAAUCCUGUAUGAAUCCACCGGGACCAUCCGGUAAGGCUAAAUACUCCUGAGAGACCGAUAGUGAACUAGUACCGUGAGGGAAAGGUGAAAAGAACCCUAAGUAAGGGAGUGAAAGAGAUCCUGAAACCGUACGCCUACAAGCGGUCGGAGCACAUUUACUGUGUGACGGCGUGCCUUUUGCAUAAUGAGCCUACGAGUUACUGUUUCUAGCAAGGUUAAAUGUUUAAGACAUGGAGCCGUAGCGAAAGCGAGUCUGAAUAGGGCGUAUAGUUAGUAGUAGUAGACGCGAAACCGAGUGAUCUACCCAUGGGCAGGUUGAAGCUGUGGUAACACACAGUGGAGGACCGAACCAGUUGACGUUGAAAAGUCUUUGGAUGACCUGUGGGUAGGGGUGAAAGGCCAAUCAAACUCGGAAAUAGCUCGUACUCCCCGAAAUGCAUUUAGGUGCAGCGUUGAGCGAAAGUUUUAUAGAGGUAGAGCUACUGAUUGGAUGCGGGGGCUUCACCGCCUACCAAUUCCUGACAAACUCCGAAUGCUAUAAAAUGUUACUCAGCAGUGAGGGCAUGGGUGCUAAGGUCCAUGUCCGAGAGGGAAAGAACCCAGACCAUCAGCUAAGGUCCCCAAAUAUAUGUUAAGUUGAAUAAACGAGGUGAAACUGCUUAGACAGCUAGGAUGUUGGCUUGGAAGCAGCCAUUCAUUUAAAGAGUGCGUAACAGCUCACUAGUCGAGCGGUUUUGCAUGGAUAAUAAUCGGGCAUAAACAUAUUACCGAAGCUAUGGAUUUGUAUUAUAUACAAGUGGUAGGGGAGCAUUGUAAUCUGCGUAGAAGGUGUGCUGUCAGGCAUGCUGGAGUGAUUACAAAAGAAAAUGUAGGCAUAAGUAACGAUAAAGGGGGCGAGAAACCCCCUCACCGAAAGACUAAGGUUUCCUCAGCGAUGCUAAUCAGCUGAGGGUUAGUCGGGUCCUAAGGCGAAUCCGAAGGGAGUAGUCGAUGGAUAACAGGUUAAUAUUCCUGUACUUCUUAUAAUUGCGAUGGGGUGACGGAGUAUUGAAAGCACCGCGAACUGACGGAAUAGUUCGUUAAAGUAUGUAGCUAUAGAACCAGAUUAAGAGUUAGGUUUUGGCAAAGUACGAUAGUACCACAAAGCUUCGGCAGCGUGGAUAGUGUGCCUAAAAGCUUCCAAGAAAAACCUCUAAGCUUCAGAUUAUAAGAACCCGUACCGUAAACCGACACAGGUAGUUGGGAUGAGAAUUCUAAGGUGCUCGAGAGAUUCAUGGCUAAGGAACUAGGCAAAAUAGACCCGUAACUUCGGGAGAAGGGUCGCCACGCUUUACGGCGUGGCCGCAGUGAAAAGGUCCAGGCGACUGUUUAUCAAAAACACAGGGCUUUGCUAAAUUGAAAGAUGAUGUAUAAGGCCUGACACCUGCCCGGUGCUGGAAGGUUAAGUGGAGGGCUUAGACGCUUGCGUCGAAGGUCUGAAAUGAAGCCCCAGUAAACGGCGGCCGUAACUAUAACGGUCCUAAGGUAGCGAAAUUCCUUGUCGGGU
rnacentral:rRNA from 1 species